UUUUUUUUUUUGAAUUUACAAGCCUUUUUUUUGUUUGCAGUUGUAGUAAAUUUCUCUACUAAGUAAACGAUAUGAGUGGCUCUCAGAUUGAAGUCCAUGUUGUUCUUCCAAUUGCGGAAAAAGAGGCAUGUUGGAUUUCUAAUAUGGGAGAAGAAGCCUUUGAAAAUAUGAACCAGUACUUUGACAGGAAAAAACAAUUACAAGAAGAGGCGAAAGCUGCAGUGCCCAACAAAACCCCUCGCAAGAGACAGCUAUGGAGGAGUAUUAAUAUAUUAAUUAUAGCGUAAAUGUCUGUGUUCAAAAUAUUAAUACAUUUUAAUUUAUAGUAUAUUUUUAAAGUAAAAAAAAUAUUGAUAAAAAA